GCACAAGCGGUGGAUGAUGUGGUUUAAUUCGAUGCAACGCGAAAACCUUACCUACCCUUGACAUGUCCGGAAUCCCGAAGAGAUUUGGGAGUGCUCGCAAGAGAACCGGAACACAGGUGCUGCAUGGCUGUCGUCAGCUCGUGUCGUGAGAUGUUGGGUUAAGUCCCGCAACGAGCGCAACCCUUGUCAUUAGUUGCCAUCAUUUGGUUGGGCACUCUAAUGAGACUGCCGGUGACAAACCGGAGGAAGGUGGGGAUGACGUCAAGUCCUCAUGGCCCUUAUGGGUAGGGCUUCACACGUCAUACAAUGGUCGGUACAGAGGGUUGCCAACCCGCGAGGGGGAGCUAAUCCCACAAAGCCGAUCGUAGUCCGGAUCGCAGUCUGCAACUCGACUGCGUGAAGUCGGAAUCGCUAGUAAUCGUGGAUCAGCAUGUCACGGUGAAUACGUUCCCGGGUCUU
rnacentral:rRNA from 1 species